rnacentral:lncRNA from 1 species
UAUCUACAUUUAUUGAAACCUAGGUGGUGCAUUGAACACUUGUCUAAAACGAAACAGACAAUUAUGAGCUUCAUCCUUUGGCAAACGAGAUUAUAUGAAUAUAGUUUAAGAAUUGCAGAAUAUUAAAAUUUUUAUAUUGACAAAUUAUAUUGACGUGUGUUAAGGGGUAGGGGUUAAACUAUACGUCGUAUAAACUCAUAUGUAUGAUAAAUCAUCAUUUUUGGUGUAUCGUAUCAAUCAUAUCAAAUUUAAUUCAUUAACACUCUCCAUGUAAAAGUUUUUUGCUUAAUUUCUGCUUCAUUUCUUUUUUGUACUUUUAUAACUCCACCCCCGUUCAUGAUGUUACAUGUAGUCAACUAUUUUGUAAUAUAUUAUCGCAGAAUGGUGAUGUGUCCUAUGGCGUCCCAGGAAUAAAUAACUGCAGUGGUUUAAUUUUCGUGGACAAAUUAUCAACGGGGACUAAAGAAAAUGUUACAAUAAAUUCAAAAGUUACUCCCAGUUAUUUGGGUUUUUCCAUUUAUUCUGGAAAAUUCACAACAAGCAAAACUGAAUUUCUUAUAGGCGGUGCGCCUAAAUACAACGACACAGGGCGUGUUGACAUUUUUAAUGAACAGUAUAUUUCCAUCUGGAAUGAAAUCGGUUCUCAGGUGAGUU